rnacentral:rRNA from 1 species
UGGGGAAUAUUGCACAAUGGGCGCAAGCCUGAUGCAGCCAUGCCGCGUGUAUGAAGAAGGCCUUCGGGUUGUAAAGUACUUUCAGCGGGGAGGAAGGUGUUGAGGUUAAUAACCUCAGCAAUUGACGUUACCCGCAGAAGAAGCACCGGCUAACUCCGUGCCAGCAGCCGCGGUAAUACGGAGGGUGCAAGCGUUAAUCGGAAUUACUGGGCGUAAAGCGCACGCAGGCGGUCUGUCAAGUCGGAUGUGAAAUCCCCGGGUUCAACCUGGGAACUGCAUUCGAAACUGGCAGGCUAGAGUCUUGUAGAGGGGGGUAGAAUUCCAGGUGUAGCGGUGAAAUGCGUAGAGAUCUGGAGGAAUACCGGUGGCGAAGGCGGCCCCCUGGACAAAGACUGACGCUCAGGUGCGAAAGCGUGGGGAGCAAACA